rnacentral:rRNA from 1 species
AGCGAACGCUGGCGGCAGGCUUAACACAUGCAAGUCGAGCGGGCCUUUCGGGGUCAGCGGCGGACGGGUGAGUAACGCGUGGGAACGUGCCCUCUGGUUCGGAAUAACUCAGGGAAACUUGAGCUAAUACCGGAUACGCCCUUUUGGGGAAAGGCUUGCUGCCGGAGGAUCGGCCCGCGUCUGAUUAGCUAGUUGGUGAGGUAACGGCUCACCAAGGCGACGAUCAGUAGCUGGUCUGAGAGGAUGAUCAGCCACACUGGGACUGAGACACGGCCCAGACUCCUACGGGAGGCAGCAGUGGGGAAUAUUGGACAAUGGGCGCAAGCCUGAUCCAGCCAUGCCGCGUGAGUGAUGAAGGCCUUAGGGUUGUAAAGCUCUUUUAUCCGGGACGGUAAUGACGGUACCGGAGGAAUAAGCCCCGGCUAACUUCGUG